GAGACAGCCUUAUGGGGCAGGACUUGCUUCAGAGUGGCUUGGUGCUCACUGAGUCUGCCCCCUGAUUGUGUCUCU
rnacentral:pre_miRNA from 1 species